UACGUAGGGUGCGAGCGUUGUCCGGAAUUAUUGGGCGUAAAGAGCUCGUAGGCGGUGUGUCGCGUCGGCCGUGAAAACCUGGGGCUCAACUCUGGGCGUGCGGUCGAUACGGGCAUCACUUGAGUUCGGCAGGGGAGACUGGAAUUCCUGGUGUAGCGGUGAAAUGCGCAGAUAUCAGGAGGAACACCGGUGGCGAAGGCGGGUCUCUGGGCCGAUACUGACGCUGGAGGGAGCGAAAGCAUGGGUAGCGAACAGG
rnacentral:rRNA from 1 species